rnacentral:rRNA from 1 species
UGUGAGUGUGUAAGAGCGCAUGGUGGAUGCCUUGGCAUCAGGAGCCGAUGAAGGACGUGGAAAUCUGCGAUAAGCCUCGGGGAGCCGAUAAACGGGCUGUGAUCCGAGGAUGUCCGAAUGGGGGAACCCCGCCGCAUGCGAGUGCGGUGACCCGCACCUGAAUAUAUAGGGUGUGUGGAGGGAACGCGGGGAAGUGAAACAUCUCAGUACCCGUAGGAAGAGAAAAUAAGAAUGAUUCCGGGAGUAGUGGCGAGCGAAACUGGAUGAGCCUAAACCGUGUGCGUGUCAAGCGUGCUGGUGUUGCGUACAUGGUGUUGUGGGGUGUGUGUGUUCGGUUCAGCAUGACCGAGACGCUGAUGAGUGCUUACGUGUAGUCGAAGCUGGUGGGAAACAGUACCGGAGUGGGUGAGAGUCCCGUAGACGAAACGCGUGGCCCCGGUGUGACACGUGUCCCCGAGUAGCACGGAACUCGUGGAAUUCCGUGUGAAUCUGCCAGGACCACCUGGUAAGGCUAAAUACUUCCUGAUGACCGAUAGCGGAUCAGUACCGUGAGGGAAUGGUGAAAAGUACCCCGGGAGGGGAGUGAAAGAGUACCUGAAACCAUGUGCUUNNCAGUCGCGUGUCCUAGACCCGAAGCGGAGUGAUCUAGCCAUGGGCAGGGUGAAGCAGCAGUAAGAUGUUGUGGAGGCCCGCACCCACUUCAGUUGAAAAUGGAGGGGAUGACCUGUGGUUAGGGGUGAAAGGCCAAUCAAACUCUGUGAUAGCUGGUUCUCCCCGAAAUGCAUUUAGGUGCAGCGUUGCGUGGUUCUUGCCGGAGGUAGAGCUACUGGAUGGCUGAUGGGCCCCACCGGGUUACUGACGUCAACUAAACUCCGAAUGCCGGUAAGGUUCAGCGUGGCAGUGAGACAGUGGGGGAUAAGCUUCAUUGUCGAGAGGGAAACAGCCCAGACCAUCAACUAAGGCCCCUAAGCGUGUGCUGAGUGGGAAAGGAUGUUCAGUUGCGAAGACAACCAGGAGGUUGGCUUAGAAGC